GCGCGAGUAGCUCAAUUGGAUAGAGUGUCGGCCUCCGAAGCCGAAGGUUGCGGGUUCGACUCCCGCCUCGCGCACCA
rnacentral:tRNA from 1 species